UAAAUAGCUCAGUUGUUACAGCAUGAGAUUUUUAAUCUCAGAAUCGUGGGUUGGAGCCCCACAUUGGGCAA